UAAUGUCAUCAUUUGGAAUCAUGAAUUAAACAAUACUAGUUUUUAUAUACUAAAACAAAUGAAAUUAGAGGGAGUGUAACAAAAGUUUGAUAAAUGGAUUGCUAUUUAAUUAGAUAUUAUAUAUUUCUUGCUACAAUUAUUGUGUAAUUUAUUAAAAUGGGUCACAAAAUUGUUUAUAUUUAGUGAACACACGUGUUUAUCCGGCAAUAAAAAGAUUGCCAUGGACGACGGUAACUACUUCCUAUCAGGAAGGACGUCUGCUCGUUUGCCCCUUUGGGACAUAAAAAAAUAUAUGUUGCAGGGAAAUUAUUAUUAAUUUUUUAAAAUUAUACAAAAAAACAAAAUAUAUCUCAUGUUUUGUUAUGAUGCACGUAUUUUGCACUAAAUUAGACAUAGUUCUCGUUUUAUGUUCAGGCAUUUUUAAAUUUUACUGUGAAUAAAAACUUUUUAAAUCAUUGAA